rnacentral:tRNA from 1 species
GCUAUUUUGACAGAAAAAUGUAAUGAUUUUAGAAUUCAUAAAUAUAUAAUAUAAUUAUAUAGAUAGUA